rnacentral:rRNA from 1 species
UACGUAGGGGGCAAGCGUUGUCCGGAAUCAUUGGGCGUAAAGAGCGCGUAGGCGGCCCAGUAAGUCCGCUCUGAAAGUCAGGGGGCUCAACCCCUGAAUGCGGGUGGAUACUGCUGGGCUAGAGUCCGGAAGAGGCGAGUGGAAUUCCUGGUGUAGCGGUGAAAUGCGCAGAUAUCAGGAGGAACACCGAUGGCGAAGGCAGCUCGCUGGGACGGUGACUGACGCUGAGGCGCGAAAGCGUGGGGGAGCGAACAGG